GACGAACGCUGGCGGCGUGCUUAACACAUGCAAGUCGAACGGAAAGGCCCGGCUUUUGUGCGGUGCUCUAUUGGCGAACGGGUGUGUAAAACGCGAGUAAACUGCGCUUGACAUUGGGAUAACUUCAGGAGACACGGACUAAUACACGACAGGAGUCUCCGCAGCACGGGGGGGGUUGGAAAAUAUCGGCGGAUGGGGAUGGACGCGGGGCUAAUCAGCUUGUUGGUGGGGGAGUGGCUUACCAAGGCUUUGAAAGGUAGCCGGCCUGAGAGGGUGGCCGGCCACAUUGGGACUGAGAGACGGCCCAGACUCCUAUGGGAGGCAGCAGUGGGGAAUAUUGCACAGUGGGCGGGAGCCUGAUGCAGCAGUGCCGCGUUCGUGAUGACGGCUUGUUGGUGGUAAACAGCUGCUGCCGGUACUGAUGCGGGAGUGACGGUAUUGGGUAAAGAAGCACCGGCUAACUACGUG
rnacentral:rRNA from 1 species